rnacentral:sRNA from 1 species
AUAUAAAAUAUAAUCAAAUACUUAAUUAAAAACUAUAUAAAACCGAGGUCCGCGGUAAACCGCGAGUUAAACCCUAGUUCCUUAUAAAUCUAUAAACCAAUAAUCCCUCCUAAAAUUGCGAAAAUAGGCGAGUUUGACGUUGGGAGAUGAAAAAACAAAACAAAAAAGAACAGGCAAUUUACUAGUUCAUGUCCCAUUU